CUGCAGCAUCCUGGCGACGGUGCUGGGCCCUUCCCAGGAACUUCCAAGGCUCCCUUUACUCCCUGCUAUCUGUGACAUAGAAGCUAUAGAGGAAACUGUCUGAUGAGGAUUCGUCGAAGCCAUGCUUGUCUCACUGAUGCUUUCUCCUACAGCCUGCUCCUGUCUUGGUUUUUCGCACAAAACAAGAAAGGAAAAAAAUUAAGGGUAAGGUCCCCUUUUCCAAGUGGCCAGAAUUGCAGUGCAAAAUGCAUAGUGAAUGUAAGUCUUUCCCGAAUUGCAUGUCUGCGAUGCCGGGCAAAAACACCUUUAAAUAGCUUAAGUUACUACUAAGCCAAACACUGUGAAAUGGUUUUUAUGGCAAUUGACGACGAUUUUAAACUGCGUCUCCACAAGAAUACUGGCAUGCAUGUUACAGUUAUUUCCCCUCUUUAAAACCAAAGGCAGUAACCAUUUGAGGAAUUCGGACUAAUCCAAACUUUAAGGGGAACAUUUUCCCCCAUUGUGUGAAGCCUUUAACGAGCUGGGAUUUAAUUGGGGUCUGAACUUUGAAUGCGUGUAUUUUUUCCCUAUUGGCAGGGGGCAUGUUUGCAAACAGAUCUUUAACUUAUAGCUAUAAAACCGUGCGGCGUCCGGGGGGCCAGGCUGUGUAACCGUGUGUGCGUGCGUGCCGCUGCUCAACGCUUCCCCUUUCCGCCGCACUCCCCCUCCCCGC
rnacentral:lncRNA from 1 species